AUUGAACGCUGGCGGCAGGCCUAACACAUGCAAGUCGAACGAGUGGCGGACGGGUGAGUAAUGUCUGGGAAACUGCCUGAUGGAGGGGGAUAACUACUGGAAACGGUAGCUAAUACCGCAUACCAUCAGAUGUGCCCAGAUGGGCUUAGCUAGUUGGUGGGGUACCGGCUAACCAAGGCGACGAUCCCUAGCUGGUCUGAGAGGAUGACCAGCAACACGGGAACGGAGAAACGGUCCAGACUCCGACGGGAGGAAGCAGUGGGGAAUAUUGCACAAUGGGGGAAAGCCUGAUGCAGCAAGGCCGCGUGUAUGAAGAAGGCCUUCGGGUUGUAAAGUACUUUCAGCGGGGAGGCGUUACCCGCAGAAGAAGCACCGGCUAACUCCGUGCCAGCAGCCGCGGUAAUUC
rnacentral:rRNA from 1 species